rnacentral:tRNA from 1 species
GGGAAAAUGGCUGAGUGGUUGAAAGCAGCGGUUUACUAAACCGCCAGACCUUUACGGGUCUCGUGGGUUCGAAUCCCACUUUUCCCG